GGAUUGCAGAUGCUGAACCAGUUAGGAGUGGAUUGCAGAUGCUGAACCAGGUAGGAUACUGGAUUGCAGAUGCUGAACCAGUUAGGAUACUGGAUUGCAGAUCCUGGACUGGAUUGGACUGGUCCUGCCUUCAAUAAACUUCCAUUUGGUUUAGAUUGUUUUGCAUGUUUAGUAACUCAGAGUAAUGUGGUUUGGUUAUUCACUCAAAUAUUGUGCUCCAUGUAAUUCCUUUUACCAAGUUUUCAGUUACUUGCUUGCAGGCAAUAAACAGUCAUUGAAUGAUGCAAGGUUGGGUAUGGGUGCAUCGUACCCAUCGAUUGAACACAGCCUCAAUAUCUCUCACUUGGAUAUAAUUUUAAAUUAAAGUCUGAGAACAGUUGAGAAGAGUCGUUUUCAUGCCCUUUGUUGGUCCAUGCGAUCCUGGGUCAAUGUUAGCUGUUAUUUCAGUAUAUUUCAGUAAUCCUAAUUCCUUGGUAGGCGUCGACAUACAUGAAAUUUAUAUUUUUUUAUAACCACAGUCUGAGCAAUUACUGAGACUCCGACCCCCAAGAAAAGUUCUUUAUUGCUGUAUAUUCUAACAAUACAAAAUUAUGCACUUUUGCAUGAGAACAACAAUUUUGGCCCAUAUUUGGUUAUGUAAUAUACUUAGAUUGUCAUUAUAUGUAGCCCUAGAAUAUGUCAGUUCUUGUAGGGAAAACUGGUUCCCGAUAUCCCUGUCAGAAAUGAUAAUGUAGGCAAACAGUCUCGUGUACUCAGUAGGGAAGGGGACCUGUUUGCAUGGAAAAGCUACCAAAUUAAAUGCUACUUGUUCUGAGGGUUGUAAAUGUCCCAAAACAGAACAAAAGAGUUGUUUUCUUCUGUUAAAAUAAGAAAUAGAUAGAAAAUUGGUAAUUGGAAAACAAUAUAAUUUGUUGAUUUUGGACAAUUAGUCAUCUUAAAUGCCAAAACCCAGUUACUAGUCCUUAUCAUUGUUUUUUUUUAACUGUACGCAUGCAGUACUGACAUGCGUGAAAUAUUUUGGUUAAAUGGAAUGUACAACAUUUGCCUUUGCUGCAAUUUUCAAAAAUAAAUGGAUUUGGAGGA